CGCCCUCCUCAGCGUGUCUUGGAGGGUUCACACAGCAGCGAGGUCACAAAAAAAACCGCGCCACGGCUCGCCCCCACCCACAGGACGACAGCACCCAGACAGAAGGAAGCUGCAAGCACGCGGAUACGUCGCUGUUGUUGUCGUGCGCAUCAUGAGUGUCCUACAUGAGGUGCUGGUCAACGAGACAAUCAUAGAGGCGGUGCGGGUGGCUCUUGACAAAUACACCGCCGAGGGGCAUCAGCUCUCCGCAGCAAGCGGUGACGGCGGCCUCUCCGUGGAAGAAGAGAAUUUAAUCCGUAGUGGUGUUCUUGCCGGGUUGCAGGAUCUCUGCGCAGCCGCCCAGCAGAGCCUCACCCGCAUGGCAUCACUGGAAAACGCCAAGGGGGCGGACGGCGUCGCGCAUUUGCGUCCGGCGACAGCAAUGACCCCGACCACGCCGCGGGCGUGGAAUUCCGCUCUCGCACGACUGGGACGCAACGCAACGGCGAUGCAAGAUGUCGUGCAGCAGGCGGUGUCCAGCAUCUGGGCCCAUCUGUGCAGCGGUAUGAACCGCAAAGGAAACGGUGUCGAGCUCAUCGCCGCCACCGCUGUCUACGCGGCCACCCCGGAGGUGACUCGAGCACUGGAAGCCGCUGCCGCAGCGCAGCACGCUCUUGCAGGGGAUGAUGCCUUGCCAGCGGACGCUGCGUCGCCGAUGCCGGCCGGGAGUAUUGCCGUGCGUUUAAGCACUUUCUCUUCUGCGGAGUGGGCGUGGCUGUCGGCUACCCUCGUGCUUGGCUACCUGAUUGUGUUCUUUGUGUUUGGGCGUAUACUGGGUUUUGGUGCUGUGCUCAACCGGCGGCGGCCGCGGACGACGACGGUGCUGAUUGGCCUGCCCGGCAGCGGAAAGACGGCACUCUUCGUGCAGCUGGUGCACCAUCAGCAGCUCUUCGAUUCACGGACAAGUAUGCGCGAAAACAGUGGAUACAUGUGUGCAGCUGCGCAGCAUGGCCGCUCCAACAGCACGGCAGGGGUGAAGGUUGUCGACUGCCCUGGGCAUCCGCGCCUGCACCAGGGAAUGUUGCGCGCCCUCAAUGAAGCCGUCAACGUCGUCGUGGUCAUCGACUCCGUCACCGUCCAGGACAAUCAACAAGAGGGCGUUGCCGCGCUGGCGGAGUUUCUUUUCAAUGUUUUGCAGUCACCUGAGUUCUACGGGGUCCGCCGGCUCCUCUUUGCGUGCACGAAGCGCGACGAGGUGAUCAGCUACGCCUCCAAGGCGGUGCGCAAGCUUCUAGAGGCGGCCAUGGUUCCCUCGAUCGAGUCGCGGAAGAAUGCGAUGGGCCGCGUGGAGAGCGUACGCGACGGCAACAACGCGGUCAUCACCGGGGAGGGCAAGCCUGGCGGCGGGAGAAGCGGUGGUGGCCGUCGGUACAUGCUCUCCUUGGACGGCGCGGACAGCGAUGACGGCGGAGGGCAGGCGCCGCCUCGCCAUGGGCCUUUGCGUGGGGCGGCCGGAGCGAGUGCGAAGAGCUUCAGUUUUGACCAGCUGGGGAUUCCUCUGGCAUUUGUGGACGUGAGCAGCCGGCCGAACGCGGCGGAGCACAAGUACUCGAUCGCCAUUGUCGAAGACUUCCUGCUGGGGAACGGCUGAGGGAGCGGAUGUGUCGGCGUUGAAAAGAAAAGAGAAGUAGACCACAAUGACGGAAGGCUGGUGGGUCGGUAAGGAGAGGUAGACGAGGUCGUGCUGACGAGUGUCCCGUGUCGAGAGGGUUUCCCUCGAGUCUUUCUUUUUGUUGCUGUGUGGAGCACCGGCGCUCUCGAGCACGUCUGUGCGCUCGUGGUUCUCUGCCCCCCCCCCAGUCAUGCAUCUUUCUCAUUUCUGUUGUUUUUUGAUACCCUUGUCGUCGCUGCUGGCGUGGGGGCGCCUCUGUGUGCGUGUUUGUGUGGGCGCGUGCAGAGAUGCGCGUUUGGUGGGUGUGGCCUCUUGUGCAUUUCCCGGCUUUCUCCCGUCAUUUACGUCCCUCUCUGUCUCUCGUCAUCUUGUGCGCAUAAUUUCUUGUUCUUUGCUGCCCACACCGUUGCUGUGAACUUCUCCGCCCUCGCUCCUUCUCUCUCGGUCUCCUUGCGCCUUUUUGGGUCGGCGUACGGGUUCUUUGUGCACGCACGUGCGGAUUUCGUGUUGUCAUCUUUUCGUGCACUUGUUGGCUCCUUUCGCAUCCUUGUCCACGUACACGUGCUCACAUGUCCGUGAGAGCAUGACAUACGGAACCGGAGUGGCGAAACCCCCCCCCCCCAAAAAAAAAAAAACGCCUCUCUACCCUUCCUUACCCCCCCCCCCCCCGAUGGGGACGGGGGCAUGGAAAGGGCACAACACCCUUCGGUGCGUGGUAUCGCAGGGUUCAGUACGCCCAUCCUCCUUGUCGGUGUGUGUGUGUGUGUGUGUCUGUGGCGACAUCUAAAAGCCAAGCCAGUUGCUGUUCCAGUGUUCGUGCAUAGCAACAAGAGCGAAGAAAAGACCAAACAACGGCAAGGGCACGCGCAGUCCCUACAGUGCGUGCGUGCGUGCAAAUGCUUCCAGGGGCUACCGCAAGAGCUCCGUCAUCUAUGAUGGCACGGGUUGUUGCGUGCGGGAGCACACACUCUUAUACACGCACGCAUACAUGCAUACGUAGCUGCCGACGCGAUCCUCAUCUCUCUCCCUUGUGUAGCUACCUAUGCCGUGCAGCGGUAACGGUGGGUGCUCGACACCCUUUUGCUUUUUUCUUG
rnacentral:misc_RNA from 1 species